UGGCUCAGACGGUAAAGAAUCUGCCUGCAAAGCAGGAGACCCAGGUUCGAUCCCUGG
rnacentral:tRNA from 1 species